UAGGAAUCCACUUCGAACUAUCAAGGUCAUGCGACGAUGCCUCUGUGCCUUAGACAUGUGGAAGAAACCUUGGUUCUUGAAUCAGGGCCCAGUGCUGGGAGCUCCUUGUCACCAUGUAACGCUAGCGACAGACGCGUCCCUCACCGGCUGGGGUGCGGUCAUGAGCGACCACCCUGCCUGCAGUCUGUGGAGUGGUCGCUAUCUGACAUGGCAUAUCAAUUGUCUACAGAUGCUGGCUGUGUAUCGAGCAUUAAAACACUUCCUCCCAGACCUGAGAGGUCACCAUGUGUUGGUGCGCACUGACAACACAUCGGUGGUCUCUUACACCAACCACCAGGGAGGUCUGUGUUCGCGACCCCUUUACAAGCUGCCGCACCAGAUCCUUGUGUAUACCCAGGGCAAACUCCUCUCAAUCAGAGCAGUAUAUAUUCCUGGACAUCUCAAUGUAGGAGCAGACAUUCUAUCGAGACAGGGGCCGAGGCCUGGGGAAUGGAUGCUUCACCCCGAGAUGGUGAAGCAGAAAUGGAGAAUAUUUGGUCAGGCUCAGGUGGACCUCUUUGCGACUCAAGAGACGAUGUCCCCUCUGGUUCUCUCUAGUUCAUCCAGCUCCCCUGGACUAGACAUUAUGGUACAGACUUGGCCGAGGUUUCUUCUGUAUGCUUUUCCCCCGAUCGCUCUGCUCCCGGGAGUUCUGGCGAGAGUACUCCGGGACGGGGUCCGUCUUCUAUUAGUAGCGAGGAAACUGUAUGCCCUGAGGUGGAAACCCUUCACCUCAUGGUGCAGAUACUGCCAGCUUGACCCAGCUAACUGCCCAGUUGGCACAGUUCUGGAGUUUCUACAAGCCAGGUUCUCUGCAGGGUUGACCCACUCCACCUUAAAAGUUUAUGUGGCGGCCAUUGUGACCUACCAUGUCCCCCUUGGUGGCCAGUCAGUGGGCAGACACCCCCUAGUGACACGUUUCCUCUGCGCUGAUGCUGAGGCCUUUAGUACGGUCCCGUGUUCCCCCCUGGGACUUAGUUGUGGUGUUAGAGGCUCUCUGUAAAGCUCCAUUCGAGCUGAUUCAAGAGAUAUCUGAUCGACAUCUGACUUUAAAGACUGCCUUCCUGUUGGCUAUUACUUCUCUGAAGAGAGUCGGAGACCUUCAGGCCCUCUCAAUGGCCCCUACUCAUCUCAACUUUGCGCCCGGCAUGGCCAAAGUAUUUCUGUACCCUCGAGCGGGUUAUGUUCCAAAAGUUCCCUCUGUCACACCACAACCGAUAGUGCUGCAGGCCUUCUGCCCUCCUCCCUUUCGGGAGCCUGACCAGAAGAAGCUUAAUUGUAUGUAUCCAGUUCGAGCGCUGGACACAUACGUCCACAGAGCUGCCCUGUGGAGAAAGUCGGACCAACUGCUUGUGUGCUAUGGUCCCCCCAAAAGGGGCUUUCCUGCAUCUAAGCAGACCCUUAGUCAUUGG
ensembl:lncRNA